rnacentral:sRNA from 1 species
AGCAGCCGCGGUAAUUCCAGCUCCAAUAGCGUAUAUUAAAGUUGUUGCAGUUAAAAAGCUCGUAGUUGAAUUUCGGGAUCAGUAUGUUGGUCGUGCUUCGGUACGUACUGUCAUUACUGGUUUCUACCUUCUGAAGAACCAUGAUGUCAUUAAUUUGGUGUCUUGGGGAAUCAGGACUGUUACUUUGAAAAAAUUAGAGUGUUUAAAGCAGGCUCGCGCUUGAAUACAUUAGCAUGGAAUAAUGAAAUAGGACGUUUGAUUCUAUUUUGUUGGUUUCUAGGAUCGACGUAAUGAUUAACAGGGAUAGUUGGGGGCAUUAGUAUUCAAUUGUCAGAGGUGAAAUUCUUGGAUUUAUUGAAGACUAACUACUGCGAAAGCAUUUGCCAAGGAUGUUUUCAUUAAUCAAGAACGAAAGUUAGGGGAUCGAAGACGAUCAGAUACCGUCGUAGUCUUAACCAUAAACUAUGCCGACUAGGGAUCGGAUGAUGUUAUUUUAAUGACUCAUUCGGCGCCUUACGGG